AAUGAUAUCCCACGAAGGCAUCCGAAUGGGAUUAAAGAUUUUAUCGGUGAUGGAUGGGGAUGCGUCUGAUUAGCUUGUUGGCGGGGUUAACGGCCCACCAAGGCUACGAUCAGUAGGGGUUCUGAGAGGAAGGUCCCCCACAUUGGAACUGAGACACGGUCCAAACUCCUACGGGAGGCAGCAGUGAGGAAUAUUGGUCAAUGGGCGAGAGCCUGAACCAGCCAAGUAGCGUGCAGGACGACGGCCCUAUGGGUUGUAAACUGCUUUUAUAAGGGAAUAAAGUGAGUCUCGUGAGACUUUUUGCAUGUACCUUAUGAAUAAGGACCGGCUAAUUCCGUG
rnacentral:rRNA from 1 species